ACUACUUCGGGUUUGGGUUUUGUUGUCAUUAGCAAACAUGGCGGCGCCCAUCAACAGCUGAAGUUGGAGCACUCCAGAGGUUUAUAAACACCAUGAGCAACACAAUGUGUGCCCCUCGCGAACAAAUUAUAGAAAAUGAAGAAGACCUAAAGAAGUUAAGGUGUACACCAUCAACUUGGAGUCUCAUUACCUGGCAGUGUAAGAAGCCCCAGCCAUUGGGGUGAUGACAGAACUAAUCCAGCUCUCUGCGCUGUACAGGUUUGUGUAGAAGGGCUGGAUGAUGACCCUGCAGAGGAAUUCAGAGGUCUACCUCAUCAAGUUCCAGAAACUCACCAGUGCAAGGGCAGCCAAAAGGCACAUGGAUGAGAAGAGUUUCUUUGGAGGUUUACUACAUGUGCUAUGCCCCAGAGUAUGAGACAGUGGAGAACACCAGAUUAAAGCUGCAAGACGGAAGAUAUGUGAAUAGGACGGCUCAAAAUAAAGAACAGGACCAGGGGGAUGAAGAGAAAAAAGCCCAUGUCUUCAGAUACAUUUGCUACCACAGCCAGGACUUCUUAAGGUGAUGAUCAGAGAUCCACUGAUACCGGCAAUCUGUAGCAUCAGUUCCUGAAGUCAAGCCAACAGAGAAGAAGACAAAGCCAGGAAAGCCUCGGAAGAUAAUCUAACAGGGAAAAGGAAAGGGUGAUACCUAGUCAGUUGUCCAACUGAAUGUAUUCAACUGAAAUGUGUCUUCCUCAUUUAACCCAACCCCUCUGAAUCAGAGAGGUGCGGAGGGCUGCCUUAAUUGACAUCCACGUCUUCGCCGCCUGGGGAACAGUGGGUUAACUGCCUUGCUCAGGGGCAGAACAGACUCCAUGUUCCGAAACGGACAUUAUCACACAGAAGAUAAUGCAUACAAGUUCCUAGACUUUACACCAAUUAGACAGUACUUCAUCUUUUCUCGACAUGUUUUAUUUGUAUAUUUCCCAUCAGAGUAUAAGAAGUGUUUUUAUAUAUAUUUGCAGUUUCAUGAAAAUGAAUAAAGUAGUGUUGUCCUUAA